UACGGGGGGGGUAAGCGUUGUUCGGAAUUACUGGGCGUAAAGGGCUCUUAGGCGGCCAACUAAGUCGGACGUGAAAUCCCUCAGCUUAACUGGGGAACUGCUUCCGAUACUGGAUGGCUUGAAUCCGGGAGAGGGAUGUGGAAUUCCAGGUGUAGCGGUGAAAUGCGUAGAUAUCUGGAGGAACACCGGUGGCGAAGGCGGCAUCCUGGACCGGUAUUGACGCUGAGGCGCGAAAGCUAGGGGAGCAAACGGG
rnacentral:rRNA from 1 species